rnacentral:rRNA from 1 species
GACGAACGCUGGCGGCGUGCCUAAUACGUGCAAGUCGAGCGGACAGAAGGGAGCUUGCUCCCGGAAGUUAGCGGCGGACGGGUGAGUAACACGUGGGCAACCUACCCUGUAGAUCGGGAUUACAUCGAGAAAUCGGCGCUAAUACCGGAUAAUCAUUUGAAGUGCAUGCUUCGAAUGUAAAAGAUGGCUCCGGCUAUCACUACGGGAUGGGCCCGCGGCGCAUUAGCUAGUUGGUAAGGUAAUGGCUUACCAAGGCAACGAUGCGUAGCCGACCUGGGAGGGUGAUCGGCCUCACUGGGACUGAGACACGGCCCAGACUCCUACGGGAGGCAGCAGUAGGGAAUCUUCCGCAAUGGACGAAAGUCUGACGGAGCAACGCCGCGUGAGUGAUGAAGGUUUUCGGAUCGUAAAGCUCUGUUGUUAGGGAAGAACAAGUGCCGUUUGAAUAAGGCGGCACCUUGACGGUACCUAACCAGAAAGCCACGGCUAACUACGUGCCAGCCGCCGCCGUAAUAC